rnacentral:rRNA from 1 species
UGCAAGUCGAGGGGCAGCGCAGUGUAGCAAUACAUGGGCGGCGACCGGCAAACGGGUGCGGAACACGUACACAACCUUCCUUUAAGUGGGGAAUAGCCCAGGGAAACUUGGAUUAAUACCCCGUAAUAUUAUGGAGUGGCAUCACUUUAUAAUUAUAGCUCCGGCGCUUGAAGAUGGGUGUGCGGCUGAUUAGGUAGUUGGCGGGGUAACGGCCCACCAAGCCUUCGAUCAGUAACUGGUGUGAGAGCACGACCAGUCACACGGGCACUGAGACACGGGCCCGACUCCUACGGGAGGCAGCAGUAAGGAAUAUUGGGCAAUGGACGCAAGUCUGACCCAGCCAUGCCGCGUGGAGGAUGAAGGUCCUCUGGAUUGUAAACUUCUUUUCUCUGGGGCGAAAAAAGGAUAUUCUUAUCCUCCUGACAGUACCAGAGGAAUAAGCACCGGCUAACUCCGUGCCAGCAGCCGCGGUAAUACGGAGGGUGCAAGCGUUAUCCGGAUUCACUGGGUUUAAAGGGUGCGUAGGUGGGCAGGUAAGUCAGCGGUGAAAUCCCCGAGCUUAACUUGGGAACUGCCAUUGAUACUAUCUGUCUUGAAUACCUUGGAGGUGAGCGGAAUAUGUCAUGUAGCGGUGAAAUGCUUAGAUAUGACAUAGAACACCAAUUGCGAAGGCAGCUCACUACACGGUCAUUGACACUGAGGCACGAAAGCGUGGGGAUCAAACAGGAUUAGAUACCCUGGUAGUCCACGCCCUAAACGAUGGAUACUCGACAUCAGCGAUACACUGUGGUGUCUGACGAAACAUUAGUAUCCCACCUGGGAAUACGACCGCAGGUUGAAACUCAAAGAAUGGGGGGG